AGCGAACGCUGGCGGCAGGCCUAACACAUGCAAGUCGAACGAACCUUUCGGGGUUAGUGGCGGACGGGUGAGUAACACGUGGGAACGUGCCUUUAGGUUCGGAAUAACUCAGGGAAACUUGUGCUAAUACCGAAUGUGCCCUUCGGGGGAAAGAUUAAUCGCCUUUAGAGCGGCCCGCGUCUGAUUAGCUAGUUGGUUGAGGUAAUGGCUCACCAAGGCGACGAUCAGUAGCUGGUCUGAGAGGAUGAUCAGCCACAUUGGGACUGGGACACGGCCCAAACUCCUACGGGAGGCAGCAGUGGGGAAUCUUGCGCAAUGGGCGAAAGCCUGACGCAGCCAUGCCGCGUGAAUGAUGAAGGUCUUAGGAUUGUAAAAUUCUUUCACCGGGGACGAUAAUGACGGUACCCGGAGAAGAAGCCCCGGCUAACUUCGUG
rnacentral:rRNA from 1 species